CCUGCCUCAGCCUCCCAAAGCACUCGGAUUACAGAUUUCCGAGACAUCCAGGAAACAGUUUAUUUUCUACCAACUCAACUUUCACACCUAAAAACAUUUUCAGGAGAAGGAUUCUCAAUUCCAAACCUUUAAGGAUGAAGCCCAUAAGGACAGAAACCUGACAUACAUCUGAUGAGAAUCCAG